rnacentral:rRNA from 1 species
AUGCCUUACACAUGCAAGUCGAACGGCAGCACGGGGGCAACCCUGGUGGCGAGUGGCGAACGGGUGAGUAAUACAUCGGAACGUGUCCUGGAGUGGGGGAUAGCCCGGCGAAAGCCGGAUUAAUACCGCAUACGCUCUGUGGAGGAAAGGGGGGGAUCUUCGGACCUCUCGCUCAAGGGGCGGCCGAUGGCAGAUUAGCUAGUUGGUGGGGUAAAGGCCUACCAAGGCGACGAUCUGUAGCUGGUCUGAGAGGACGACCAGCCACACUGGGACUGAGACACGGCCCAGACUCCUACGGGAGGCAGCAGUGGGGAAUUUUGGACAAUGGGCGCAAGCCUGAUCCAGCAAUGCCGCGUGUGUGAAGAAGGCCUUCGGGUUGUAAAGCACUUUUGUCCGGAAAGAAAACCCCGUGGUUAAUACCCGUGGGGGAUGACGCUACCGGAAGAAUAAGCACCGGCUAACUACGUGCCAGCAGCCGCGGUAAUACGUAGGGUGCAAGCGUUAAUCGGAAUUACUGGGCGUAAAGCGUGCGCAGGCGGUUCGCUAAGACAGAUGUGAAAUUCCCGGGCUUAACCUGGGAACUGCAUUUGUGACUGGCGGGCUAGAGUAUGGCAGAGGGGGGUAGAAUUCCACGUGUAGCAGUGAAAUGCGUAGAGAUGUGGAGGAAUACCGAUGGCGAAGGCAGCCCCCUGGGCCAAUACUGACGCUCAUGCACGAAAGCGUGGGGAGCAAACAGGAUUAGAUACCCUGGUAGUCCACGCCCUAAACGAUGUCAACUGGUUGUCGGGCCUUCAUUGGCUUGGUAACGUAGCUAACGCGUGAAGUUGACCGCCUGGGGAGUACGGUCGCAAGAUU